ensembl:lncRNA
CUUGAACAUUGUGAAGAGAAAAAUGAUGUUUCUAAUUUGUAAUUUUUUUGUUUUGUGCUUAUCUUGUUAUAAGCAUAACAUGCACUUAUUCCAAAUAAAUAAUGUGUGUUUUAUCCCCAAGGGAGCACAAUAGCUGGGCAGGGACAGCAGAUUGCAGAUAACGUGCUUAUAACCAAUUAGCAGGACAAUGCAGUCCUUUCAAGUUUUCUGCAAAGUGUUUGGUGUAUAAAUGUGCACAGAGAGCAGAGCAGGAGCUGAGAUAUGAAGCUGAAGGGAAACUAUGGCAGCGGGAGAUAUAAACUGGUAAGUGAGGAAGUUUUUGCUAAGAGGAAAAAGCAGAUGAGAGCACAUUGUUAAAAAAAAAAACCCUUUUCAAGCAUGGCUUUCUGCCUGGAGAUUUGGCACUGUGCUUGUUUUGCAAGAAGUGUGUCAACUCCCAGUGCAGUUCCUGAGCAAAAUGGGUUUCCAUCUGGUGGGGCUCACAGAGGAAUCCCUGCUCUCCACCAAAUGAGUGUCUCUUUGCCUGCCGCGGAAUUCAGGCUCCUUACAGAGCAGGACCGGGGUAGAUAGGAGCCCUGGUCUCCUGUCACCACUCAUGAUGGAAUGCAUGGAAAGAGAAGAAAUCAUUCUAAUGGAUAUUUGAUCUCGCUGUUGUUUCUUCAGACACCAAACUAUGUCCACCUGAUGGAGAUAGAAAGCAUCAUGUCCAAGCUGGCUUCUGAAAUUUCUCCCUAAUUUCUGCUCUUUGGUGGGGUCUCAGCAGUUACUGCAGAGCGUGAGUCCUGUGAAGGGUCACCGGUUCUGUGUAGCUGCAGAAGUAUCUGUGCUUUAUCCUGAAGCAGACAGCAUCAGUGCAAGGUCAGCUGGUGGUCAGCAUCGUGCUUCUCUGGGCCGGCAGCACAGCUGAAUGUUUCCAGGAAAUGAACAUUUGUGUGCCCCGAGGAGCAUUUUUAAGCAGACUAAAUUAAUUGGGAUGAGCGAGUUGUGCACCUAAUUGUGUAAGGAGAGAAGAGGAAGAUGUCACCGUACUGCAAAACCUCUGGCAUGUUCACAUGGCGGGGAUGGAGGUGCUGGAGCAGAUGAUGUGAUAGCUCUUAAUGCAAUGCAGAGUGUGUGCACGUGGCUGGAUGGUGGAAAGCACAAGAGGUAACUCAUCCGAUGGCUAAAACAACCCCCAGCCCCUCUGCUGACAACGCCAGGUGGUGCUGGCUGCCAUGGGCUGCUUUGGUAGCGGGACUCUUGGAAGGGCCCUUGUUUUGCAGUCAGCUGCCUCACACAGCAGGGAAAAGCAGAAAUAGCUUCCCUAGGUUACCCUUGGGAGUUGAAAUGCUGCCACUUCCAGGGCCACUCAUCUCUCUCUGUAGAUCUGGGAGAUGCUGCUAUGUCUUCUUUCCGUGCAUCCAUGCUUAUAUCAUUGCAUGUGAAGGCAAUUAAGGUCCUGAAAAUGCAGUGCUACGCAACCAGGCAGCUCCAUCCUGGGAGCAGCGAGGCAGCCUCCCCUUGGUGCACCCACCCUUUUGGUUCUGCAGGAUCAGAGCAUGCACAGACAGCAAACAUGAGACCCAGCAUACACCCC